rnacentral:rRNA from 1 species
AGUGAACGCUGGCGGUAGGCCUAACACAUACAAGUCGAACGGCAGCACAGUAAGAGCUUGCUCUUACGGGUGGCGAGUGGCGGACGGGUGAGGAAUACAUCGGAAUCUACUUUUUCGUGGGGGAUAACGUAGGGAAACUUACGCUAAUACCGCAUACGACCUACGGGUGGAAGCAGGGGAUCUUCGGACCUUGCGCGAUUGAAUGAGCCGAUGUCGGAUUAGCUAGUUGGCGGGGUAAAGGCCCACCAAGGCGACGAUCCGUAGCUGGUCUGAGAGGAUGAUCGGCCACACUGGAACUGAGACACGGUCCAGACUCCUACGGGAGGCAGCAGUGGGGAAUAUUGGACAAUGGGCGCAAGCCUGAUCCAGCCAUACCGCGUGGGUGAAGAAGGCCUUCGGGUUGUAAAGCCCUUUUGUUGGGAAAGAAAAGCAGCAGGUUAAUACCCCGCUGUUCUGACGGUACCCAAAGAAUAAGCACCGGCUAACUUCGUG